rnacentral:rRNA from 1 species
AUUGAACGCUGGCGGCAGGCCUAACACAUGCAAGUCGAGCGGAACGGCGGACGGGUGAGUAAUGCCUAGGAAUCUGCCUGGUAGUGGGGGAUAACGUCCGGAAACGGGCGCUAAUACCGCAUAAUAUCAGAUAAGCCUAGGUCGGAUUAGCUAGUUGGUGGGGUAAAGGCCUACCAAGGCGACGAGCCGUACCUGGUCUGAGAGGAUGAUUAGUCAAACGGGAACUGAGACACGGUCCAGACUCCUACGGGAGGCAGCAGUGGGGAAUAUUGUACAAUGGGCGAAAGCCUGAUCCAGCCAUGCCGCGUGUGUGAAGAAGGUCGUCGGAUUGUAAAGCACUUUAAGUUGGGAGGCGUUACCAACAGAAUAAGCACCGGCUAACUUCGUGCCAGCAGCCGCGGUAAUUC